rnacentral:tRNA from 1 species
GGAAUGUUGUCCGAGCUGGCCGAAGGAGCACGCCUGGAAAGUGUGUAGGCGUCACAAGCGUCUCAAGGGUUCGAAUCCCUUACCUUCCG